UUUGUGUGCCUGUCUCCAGUUGUGACUGGGUGUGACAGCGGAUGGGGCACGUAACGGUGUGUGACGGUGUGGAUGGUGACUCGUAUGUGGCAGUGUGGCAGAGUACGUAGGCGAGUGACUGCGUGUCGUUGUGUAUAAAUGACUGUCAGGGUGACCUGCGUGGGACGGCAAAGCCGUGGAGUGAGUGUAACCGCGAGGGGAUCGUCGGCGCGGCCGAUGUGCGCGUGACCACCGGAGAAAGCGUCCCGGGCCUCCAGAAACCGAGGCAUGGACUUGAGCGUCAGUAAUGGACUCCAAUCACCUGGCUCCACUGUCUCCAAAGGAUCCAAAACUGAAGCCACUUGGAGAAAGCAGAAGGACCCCAUCCCCUUUAAUGACAGCGAGGAAUUAUUUACAUUAGUGACCAGUUCCUCAAUCUCUCCACUCACUGACCUCAGGUUCCUGGCUCUCCCGUGCCCAUGAUACCUGCCUGAGAAGGCCUGCCUGAUAUCCAAGUGACCCAGCAGGACUUACUGAAAAGAUUAUCUUCUAUUCCCCCCUUGUUCCCCCACUCCUCAGCAGUGUUAACAUUGUUGUAAGUCAAGUUGUCCAUGUGCCUGGGACUGUUUAUGAAUCUCUAUUUUGUUCUAUUAGCCUACUUUUUUUCUCCUUAUGCCAUUAUCACAGUGUCUGGAUUACUAUAGGUUUAUUAAGUCUUAACAUCUCAUAGAAUAAGCCUACUUUGUUCUCUAAGACUGCUUUGGUUAUUUUUGACCUUUGUACUUCCAUAAAAAUGUUUAAAUAAACUUG